ACGCUGAAAUAACAUCAUAACAAUGACCCAGCUACACCAGGAACCACCUCUUUUGCCAGCUCAUCCUCCCUUGAGCUGGCUUUUUA
rnacentral:sRNA from 1 species